ACGCGCACGCUUGUUAGUUGCUCGAUUUCAUGCAGCCUUGCCUUGGAUGCACACCUCCACAGGUGUGCAGUCAUAGCCUCAUACCUGGUAACAGGAGGUUUCAUUAUGUAAACACUUGGGAACUCAUUAGCGUCUUUCUUCAGCUUUUGAAUAUGUUCUUUGCUCAAUUUCAACAUCACCACGGUUGUUUCCUUCUUCUGCUCUUCUAAGUUAUUCGUUUGGCCAAUCAACAUUGAUGGUUUGCCGAACUCCAAGUGAUCAAAUCUCGGCAGUGUCA